rnacentral:rRNA from 1 species
UACUGCUUUUUUCUUACCAUGUGUUUUUCUUUUUUUGAAAACUUUGCUUUGGUAGGCCAACUAUAUGGGGCCUGCCAGAGAUUAAACUCAACCAAAUUUUAUUUAAUGUCAACCGAUUAUUUAAUAGUCAAAACUUUCAACAACGGAUCUCUUGGUUCUCGCAUCGAUGAAGAACGCAGCGAAAUGCGAUAAGUAAUAUGAAUUGCAGAUAUUCGUGAAUCAUCGAAUCUUUGAACGCACAUUGCGCCCUUUGGUAUUCCAAAGGGCAUGCCUGUUUGAGCGUCAUUUCUCCCUCAAACCCUCGGGUUUGGUGUUGAGCGAUACGCUGGGUUUGCUUGAAAGAAAGGCGGAGUAUAAACUAAUGGAUAGGUUUUUUCCACUCAUUGGUACAAACUCCAAAACUUCUUCCAAAUUCGACCUCAAAUCAGGUAGGACUACCCGCUGAACUUAAGCAUAUCAAUAAGCGGAGG